UACGGAGGGUGCGAGCGUUAUCCGGAAUUACUGGGUUUAAAGGGUGCGUAGGCGGCUAGAUAAGUCAGGAGUGAAAGCUCGAGGCUCAACUUCGGAAUUGCUUUUGAUACUGUUUAGCUUGAAUUAGGAUGAGGUUAGCGGAAUGUGGCAUGUAGCGGUGAAAUGCAUAGAUAUGCCAUAGAACACCAAUUGCGAAGGCAGCUAACUGGACCUAUAUUGACGCUGAGGCACGAAAGCGUGGGGAGCGAACAGG
rnacentral:rRNA from 1 species